rnacentral:lncRNA from 1 species
UUUGACCGUAGAAACGAAUGGUGUCUCUAACACUGGCUUUUAGUGAACUGUUUCUCUUCUCCAGAUGCAGAACCUUCAAAGGAGUGUGGAAAGUGUCUGGAAGGAAAGGUGUGCACCUUGGAGCUUUCCUUGGAGUGUAUCUUUGAGCUGUUUGCGUUUGGGUGGUGAGUCUUUGGAAGAUGGGUAUCAUUGUCUCCAUUUUACAAGUGAGGAAGCAGAGGUUCAGAGUUGCUGUCCAAGAGCAUCAUACAUACAGUGGUGCAGCGGAGAUUCAAAUUGUGAUCUGAUGAUAAGCCGAGAUCUUCCUACAACAUGAUCUCUAUUGCUCCAGAGAGAAGAACUAGGAUCAAUGACUUAAAGUUACCCAGAGAAGAGUCAGCAUAAGAAAAUUCAGCAUAAGAUGCUGAGUGAAUAUCAGGAGGAACUUUUCAUCACCUAGAGCCAGAAGCAUUCUUGAAUAUGAAAGGGCUCUGAGCCUUGCCGCUCCCACUCUCACUGCAGGUCUGCAAAUAGGAAAUGAAUGACUACCUGUCACAGAAGCUGUGAAUGUGAUAGCUGUGUUAGGGAAAAUGUUGAUCCACAUCACCUCCGAAAUCCCUUCCAAUUAGUGUACCCUUUGAGUCUGUGACAUUCUGCACCCUCAAAGAGUCUAUAUACUUCUGAGAAAAUGGGACAAAGGGGAAAGUAACUUUUUAGAAAGAAUUUUAAACAUUCGUGUUGAUUAUCAACAUCAUGCUUAUUAUAGGCAAUUUGGAAAAUUCAGGAAAGUAGUAAGAAGAAAAGAAAUGCUACACAACAACACAGUGAUAGCCACAGUGAACACUUGGUGUCUCUUCUUUCAUUUUUCUCCAUGUUUAUCAAAUUU